AGAAUCUUUCGCAAUGCCCGAAAGGGUGACGAAGCGACGCCGCGUGUGGCAAGAAGGCCUUCGGGUUGUAAACCACUGUCGGGAGUUAAGAAAUGCAAGGGUGUUAAUAGCGCCCUUGCUUGACUAAGGCUCCGGAGGAAGCUACGGCUAACUCUGUGCCAGCAGCCGCGGUAAUACAGAGGUGGCAAGCGUUGUUCGGAAUUAUUGGGCGUAAAGAGCACGUAGGCGGCCUUGAAAGUCAGUUGUGAAAUCCUUCCGCUUAACGGAAGAACUGCAUCUGAUACUCCAGGGCUCGAGUGCGGGAGGGGAGAGUGGAACUUCUGGUGGAGCGGUGAAAUGCGUAGAUAUCAGAAGGAACGCCGGCGGCGAAAGCGGCUCUCUGGUCCGUAACUGACGCUGAGUGUGCGAAAGCUAGGGGAUCAAACGGGAUUAGAUACCCCGGUAGUCCUAGCCGUAAACGAUGGGCACUAAGUAGAGGGGUUUUGAUUAUCUCUCUGCCGGAGCUAACGCAUUAAGUGCCCCGCCUGGGAAGUACGGCCGCAAGGCUAAAACUCAAAAGAAUUGACGGGGGCUCGCACAAGCGGUGGAGCAUGUGGCUUAAUUCGAUGCAACGCGAAGAACCUUACCGGGGUUUGACAUGGUAGAAGUAGGAACCCGAAAGGGUAACGAACGGUAUCCAGUCCGUAACUAUCACAGGUGUUGCAUGGCUG
rnacentral:rRNA from 1 species